rnacentral:rRNA from 1 species
UACGGAGGGGGCUAGUGUUGUUCGGAAUUACUGGGCGUAAAGCGUGCGCAGGCGGUGAUGUAAGACAGAUGUGAAAUCCCCGGGCUCAACCUGGGAACUGCAUUUGUGACUGCAAGGCUGGAGUGCGGCAGAGGAGACUGGAAUUCCUGGUGUAGCAGUGAAAUGUGUAGAUAUCAGGAGGAACACCGAUGGCGAAGGCAGGUCUCUGGGCUGACACUGACGCUCAUGCACGAAAGCGUGGGGAGCAAACAGG